rnacentral:tRNA from 1 species
AAAGCAUUAGGUUAUUUAAACUACUAUCCUUCAAAGAUAGAGAAAGUAAGCUUUA